rnacentral:rRNA from 1 species
UACGUAGGGGUCUAGCGUUGCCCGGAAUCAUUGGGCGUAAAGAGCUCGUAGGCGGUUCGGCAAGUCGGAUGUGAAAUCUCCACGCUCAACGUGGAGGGGCCAUUCGAAACUGCCGUGACUCGAGUCCGGUAGGGGAGUGCGGAAUUCCCGGUGUAGCGGUGAAAUGCGCAGAUAUCAGGAGGAACACCGAUGGCGAAGGCAGGUCUCUGGGCCACUACUGACGCUGAGAAGCGAAAGCAUGGGGAGCGAACAGG